AGCUCCAAUAGCGUAUAUUAAAGUUGCUGCAGUUAAAAAGCUCGUAGUUGGAUUUCUGGCUUGCAACAUUUAGCCGGCCACGGUUUCGUGUGUCAGUGUUAGAUGUUCUGGCCAUCCUUCCAAUCGCUAGUGUUGGUCUUCAUUGAUCAGCGCUCGUAGUAUUGGAUCUUUUACUUUGAAAAAAUUAGAGUGUUUCAAGCAGGCUUAUGCUAUGAAUACAUUAGCAUGGAAUAAUAAUUUAGGACUUCGGUUCUAUUUUGUUGGUUUCUAGGACUGAAGUAAUGAUUGAUAGGGACAGUUGGGGGUGCUAGUAUUCAGCGGCCAGAGGUGAAAUUCUCGGAUUCGCUGAAGACUAACUUAUGCGAAAGCAUUCACCAAGGAUGUCUUCU
rnacentral:rRNA from 1 species